GACAGAGGGUGCAAACGUUGUUCGGAAUUACUGGGCGUAAAGCGUGUGUAGGCGGUUUUGUAAGUCGGGUGUGAAAGCCCUGGGCUCAACCCAGGAAGUGCACUCGAAACUGCGAGGCUAGAGUAUCGGAGAGGUUGGUGGAAUUCUCGGUGUAGAGGUGAAAUUCGUAGAUAUCGAGAGGAACACCGGCGGCGAAGGCGGCCAACUGGACGAAUACUGACGCUGAGGUGCGAAAGCGUGGGGAGCAAACAGG
rnacentral:rRNA from 1 species